rnacentral:rRNA from 1 species
GACGAACGCUGGCGGCGUGCCUAAUACAUGCAAGUUGAGCGCUGAAGGUUGGUACUUGUACCAACUGGAUGAGCAGCGAACGGGUGAGUAACGCGUGGGGAAUCUGCCUUUGAGCGGGGGACAACAUUUGGAAACGAAUGCUAAUACCGCAUAAAAACUUUAAACACAAGUUUUAAGUUUGAAAGAUGCAAUUGCAUCACUCAAAGAUGAUCCCGCGUUGUAUUAGCUAGUUGGUGAGGUAAAGGCUCACCAAGGCGAUGAUACAUCGCCGACCUGAGAGGGUGAUCGGCCACAUUGGGACUGAGACACGGCCCAAACUCCUACGGGAGGCAGCAGUAGGGAAUCUUCGGCAAUGGACGAAAGUCUGACCGAGCAACGCCGCGUAAGUGAAGAAGGUUUUCGGAUCGUAAAACUCUGUUGGUAGAGAAGAACGUUGGUGAGAGUGGAAAGCUCAUCAAGUGACUGGAACUACCCAGAAAGGGACGGCUAACUACGU